rnacentral:rRNA from 1 species
GCCGCUGCUAUUGGGGUUCGGCUAAGCCAUGCGAGUGGAGGGCGUCCCGCAAGGGAUGGCCCCGCAGACGGCUCAGUAACACGUCGUCAACCCACCUUAGGGUGGGGGACAACCUCGGGAAACUGAGGAUAAUCCCCCAUAGGCGGGGGAGGCUGGAAUGCGCCCCCGCUGAAAGCUCAGGCGCCCUAGGACGGGACGGCGGCCUAUCAGGUAGUUGGUGGUGUGACG